GUGGGGAAUAUUGGACAAUGGGCGCAAGCCUGAUCCAGCCAUGCCGCGUGAGUGAUGAAGGCCUUAGGGUUGUAAAGCUCUUUCAGUGGGGACGAUAAUGACGGUACCUACAGAAGAAGCCCCGGCUAACUUCGUGCCAGCAGCCGCGGUAAUACGAAGGGGGCUAGCGUUGUUCGGAUUUACUGGGCGUAAAGCGCACGUAGGCGGAUUGGUCAGUUAGAGGUGAAAUCCUGGAGCUCAACUCCAGAACUGCCUUUAAUACUGCCAGUCUAGAGUCCAGAAGAGGUGACUGGAACUCCUAGUGUAGAGGUGGAAUUCGUAGAUAUUAGGAAGAACACCAGUGGCGAAGGCGGCUCACUGGUCUGGUACUGACGCUGAGGUGCGAAAGCGUGGGGAGCAAACAGGAUUAGAAACCCCGGUAGUCC
rnacentral:rRNA from 1 species